rnacentral:rRNA from 1 species
AGGAUUAACGCUGGCGGCGUGCAUGAGACAUGCAAGUCGAACGGACGAUCAGGGCUUGCUCUGAUCGUUAGUGGCGGACGGCUGAGUAACGCGUAGGUGACCUGCCCCGAAGUGGGGGAUAACUGCCCGAAAGGGUGGCUAAUACCGCAUGUGGAGGUUUGUUCAUUCGAACCUUCAAAGCAGCAAUGCGUUUCGGGAGGGCCUGCGUCCGAUUAGCUCGUUGGUGGGGUAACGGCUCGACCGAAGGCGACGAUCGGUAGGUGGUCUGAGAGGACGAUCACCCGAGACUGGGACUAGGACGACGACCGGCCACGUACC